GUAAGGAAUAUUGGACAAUGGGCGCAAGCCUGAUCCAGCCAUGCCGCGUGAAGGAUUAAGGUCCUCUGGAUUGUAAACUUCUUUUAUAAGGGACGAAAAAAGGGAAUUCUUUCUCACUUGACGGUACCUUAUGAAUAAGCACCGGCUAACUCCGUGCCAGCAGCCGCGGUAAUACGGAGGGUGCAAGCGUUAUCCGGAUUCACUGGGUUUAAAGGGUGCGUAGGCGGGUAUUUAAGUCAGUGGUGAAAUCCUAGAGCUUAACUCUAGAACUGCCAUUGAUACUAUUUAUCUUGAAUAUUGUGGAGGUAAGCGGAAUAUGUCAUGUAGCGGUGAAAUGCUUAGAUAUGACAUAGAACACCUAUUGCGAAGGCAGCUUACUACGCAUAUAUUGACGCUGAGGCACGAAAGCGUGGGGAUCAAACAGGAUUAGAAACCCUAGUAGUCC
rnacentral:rRNA from 1 species